rnacentral:lncRNA from 1 species
CGUGCAUUAUCAUGCUGAAACAUGAGGUGAUGGCGGGGGAUGAAUGGCACGACAAUGGUCCUCAGGAUCUCAUCACGGUAUUUCUGUUCAUUGAAAUUGCGGUUGAUAAAAUGCUAUUGUGUUCAUUGUCCGUAGCAUAUGACUGCCCAUACCAUAACCCCACUGCCACCAUGGGGAACUCUGUUCAGCAAUCCGCUCGUGCAGAAAGUCUUCAGUUUUUCAAACCCCCAGUUUCAUCAGCUGUCUGGAUGACUGGUCUCAGACGAUCCCCCAGUUUCAUCAGCUGUCUGGAUGACUGGUCUCAGACGAUCCCCCAGUUUCAUCAGCUGUCUGGAUGACUGGUCUCAGACCAUCCCCCAGUUUCAUCAGCUGUCUGGAUGACUGGUCUCAGACCAUCCCCCAGUUUCAUCAGCUGUCCGGAUGACUGGUCUCAGACCAUCCCCCAGUUUCAUCAGCUGUCCGGAUGACUGGUCUCAGACGGUCUCAAGAAGCCGGAUAUAGAGGUCCU